CAGUAGUCAUACGCUCGUCUCAAAGAUUAAGCCAUGCAUGUGUAAGUAUAAAUAAUUCUACUUUGAAACUGCGAAUGGCUCAUUAUAUCAGUUAUAGUUUAUUAGAAAUAAUGUACUACUUGGAUAACCGUAGUAAUUUUAGGACUAAUACAGGAGUAAAUCCUCGACUUUGAAGAGGUGUGUUUAUUAGUAUGAAAACCAUAUGGUUUUGCAUAAUAGUGAGUAAUAAUAACCUUUCAUAUCGUAUGUUGUAAUAACGAUAGUUCUUUCAAGUUUCUGCCCUAUCAGCUUUCGAUGGUAGUGCAUUGGGCUUCCAUGGCAGUAACGGGUAACGAAGAAUUUGGGUUCGAUUUCGGAGAGGGAGCCUGAGAGAUGGCUACCCCAUCCAAGGAAGGCAGCAGGCGCGUAAAUUACCCAAUCCUGCCAUAGGGAGGUAGUGACAAUAAAUCCCAAUGCGGGACUUUUAGUUUUGCAAUUGGAUUGAGAACAAUGUACAAGAGUUAUCGAUAAACAAUUGGAGGGCAAGUCUGGUGCCAGCAGCCGCGGUAA
rnacentral:rRNA from 1 species